rnacentral:rRNA from 1 species
UGAGGAAUAUUGGUCAAUGGGAGAGAUCCUGAACCAGCCAAGCCGCGUGAGGGAAGACGGCCCUAUGGGUUGUAACCUCUUUUGUCGGAGAACAAAACCCGGGACGUGUCCCGGACUGCGUGUAUCCGAAGAAAAAGCAUCGGCUAACUCCGUGCC